UGGGAGCGGCAGACGGGUGAGUAACGCGUGGGGAUCUGCCCAAUGGUACGGAAUAACCCAGGGAAACUUGGAUUAAUACCGUAUGUGCCCUUCGGGGGAAAGAUUUAUCGGGAAAGGAUGAGCCCGCGUUGGAUUAGCUAGUUGGUGGGGUAAAGGCCUACCAAGGCGACGAUCCAUAGCUGGUCUGAGAGGAUGAUCAGCCACACUGGGACUGAGACACGGCCCAGACUCCUACGGGAGGCAGCAGUGGGGAAUAUUGGACAAUGGGCGCAAGCCUGAUCCAGCCAUGCCGCGUGUGUGAAGAAGGCCUUCGGGUUGUAAAGCACUUUCAGCGAGGAGGAAGGGUGGUGUGUUAAUAGCACAUCAUUUUGACGUUACUCGCAGAAGAAGCACCGGCUAACUCUGUGCCAGCAGCCGCGGUAAUACAGAGACUGCAAGCGUUAUUCGGAUUCACUGGGCGUAAAGGGUGCGCAGGCGGCCAAGUGUGUGAAGCGUGAAAGCCCAAGGCUCAACCUUGGAAUUGCGCCUCAAACUACAUGGCUAGAGCAUUGGAGAGGGUAGCAGAAUUCAUGGUGUAGCAGUGAAAUGCGUAGAUAUCAUGAGGAAUACCAGAGGCGAAGGCGGCUACCUGGACAAUUGCUGACGCUCAGGCACGAAAGCGUGGGGAGCAAAAGGGAUUAGAUACCCCUGUAGUCCACGCCCUAAACGGUGCAUACUAGGUCUUGGCGGAUUCGACCCCACCAGGGCCCAAGCUAACGCGUUAAGUGUGCCGCCUGAGGACUACGGCCGCAAGGCUAAAACUCAAAGGAAUUGAC
rnacentral:rRNA from 1 species